UCUGUGGUUUAAGCCACCCAGUCUGAGGUAUUUUGUUAAGGCAGUCUGAGCAGCUAAUUGGCUCUCAGUUUCAAGGCUGAUUUCAAGAGACUCGUGUUGGCCAGGUAUGAGGGGAGCCAGUGCUCAAGUGAAGGAAGGAAAAUUCAGCACAUCCUCCUCGUCUAGCUGAAGGGGGCUCUGGAGCAGCAGGAGGGGCCCAGGGCAAGCCUGGAAUGAAAUCCGUGGCACUCCUGCAGGUUCUGGGGGCGGUGUCCAUGGAAUAUCCUCUGCCACAUAACAAAAUGACUAAUAAUUGCUUGGGGAGCUUUCAGAACUGCCCCAAGGCUUCCUCUAACACUCCACCCACACCUGGUUCAUGCCAGGUUGCUCGAUGCCUUGGUUCGGGAGAAUAGGUGUGGUGUCAUCUCAGGCUUGGUGGCAGCCCAAGGGAAGGGGCAAGUGUUCUGAGUCUCUCUAGAUGACACAGGAGCUGAGGAAAGCUGGAGUGAAUUAUGAGUCACAGCCCGUACCUCACAAGAAAGUUCUGCCCGAUGCCAGAGCUGGGAGCCAUCACCAGUUAUGCAGGGUUGGUGGAGAAGAGCCUCGGGAUAAUUGCUCACAGUACAGAUGAGAUCACCAAGCUGGGGGAGAAGGGACUUGCUUGAAGUGACCCUCAUGGACUGGGACUGGAAGGCAGAGCUGAACUCAAGCUACUCUGGGUGCUGCCCUGCUCCUGGAAGGAGGGGGAUAUGCUGUGCCCAGGUGUGGAAUGGAAUGGAGGGCUGUGACACACCUCCACCAUGGGGAUAUGGAGUGACCUUCUGAGAUGAGGGGGUCAUCUGUCAGGUCCCACCCUCUGUGCUGUGCCUUGAUUCAGACCCACGACACAACCAGCCGUCCACCCCACCCCAGGUGGUCCUGGCCAGGGGAAGUGCUGAAAUGCCCCCAUUGCCAUCCUGAACUGCUAUGCUGGUGAUGACCAUAGGAAAGCUUUAUUCUAGGUAUACUAUUUCAACUGCUGGGCCCCAGCUUCCUUAUCUAUAAAAUGUAGUUAGUUCCGGUUCCUGCCUUAUAUGAUGUGGAGAAGAUUAAAUGAGAUUAUGGACACGAAGCUCUUCAAAUUGCCCGGCACAGAGUAAACGCUCAAUAUUUAUCAGCUGUUAGUCAUUAGGUCUGUUUGACUUGCAGAACUUCCAGUGGUGGACAUUUUUGAAGGGAUGCUUGGGGCCCCCUCGAGAUGCUGGCCUAGCAGGACCCAGCUGCUCCAUCCUUGGAUGAAACACCCAACAAGUGUUCCCCGGGUGAUGGAUCAGGAAACUCAGACUCCUGGCCAGGGAAAACAGGCCUGACCUGCUCUCUGGAACCCCCAUGUUGCCAUCCAGGAGAUCCUGAAGCCCAAGGCACAAAUGAGGAGGAGCACAAGGAGUGAGAGAAGUCAGUUCAUCCAACCAUUAAGGAUGAGUUCUGUGUGAGAGGGUCAGAGAAGAGGAUUGGGAAGCAGAUGGAGCAGCAUGUCCUGGCCGGGUGCAGUGGCUCAUGCCUGUAAUCCCAGCACUUUGGGAGGCCGAGCUGGGUGGAUCACCUGAAGUCAGGAGUUCAAGACCAGCCUGGCCAACAUGGUGAAACCCCGUCUCUACUAAAAACACAAAAAUUAGCUGGACGUGGUGGCAGGCGCCUGUAAUCCCAGCUACUCAGGAGGCCGAGGCAGGAGGAUCACCUGAGGUCAGGAGUUCAAGAAGAGCCUGGCCAACAUGGAGAAACCCCAUCUCUACCAAAAAUACAAAAAUUAGCCCGGUGUGGAGGUGUGCACCUAUAGCCCCAGCUAUUUGGGAGGCUGAGCCAGGAGAAUCACUUGAACCCGGGCAGCCGAGGUUGCAGUGAGCUGAGAUCAUGCCAGUGCACCCAGCCUGGGCAACAGAGCAAGACUCUGUUUCAAAAAACAAACAAACAAAAAACAGUAUGUCCUGGAAAUCGUUCCUCAUCAGUUCAUAGAUGUCUUCCUCAAUCAUUUUACAGUUGCACAGAACUCCAUUGUGUGACUGCACCACAGUUUAUUCAAUCACUGCCUAUGUAUAGGAAGUGAUAUUGUUUUCAAUAUUUUGCAAUUAUAAACCGUGCCACAAUGAAUAACCUUGUGCAUUUGUAUUUUCACAGUGUCUGGGGGAGUAUCUUCAGGGUAAAUUGCUGGAAGUGGGAG
rnacentral:lncRNA from 10 species